rnacentral:rRNA from 1 species
UACAGAGGGGGCAAGCGUUAUUCGGAAUUAUUGGGCGUAAAGGGCGCGUAGGCGGUUUUUUAAGUCGGAUGUGCAAUCCCCAGGCUCAACCUGGGAACUGCAUCCGAGACUGGAAGGCUAGAGUACUGGAGAGGGUGGUGGAAUUCCUCGUGUAGCGGUGAAAUGCGUAGAGAUGAGGAGGAACACCAGUGGCGAAGGCGGCCAUCUGGGACAACACUGACGCUGAAGCACGAAAGCGUGGGGAGCAAACAGG